AGAGUUUGAUCCUGGCUCAGGACGAACGCUGGCGGCGUGCUUAACACAUGCAAGUCGAACGGAAAGGCCUGCCACCUUGGUGGUGGGUACUCGAGUGGCGAACGGGUGAGUAACACGUGGGUGAUCUGCCCCGCACUGUGGGAUAAGCCUGGGAAACUGGGUCUAAUACCACAUACGACCAUGGCGUAGGGGUCAUGGUGGAAAGCUUUUGCGGUGUGGGAUGAGCCCGCGGCCUAUCAGCUUGUUGGUGGGGUAAUGGCCUACCAAGGCGGCGACGGGUAGCCGGCCUGAGAGGGUGGACGGCCACAUUGGGACUGAGACACGGCCCAGACUCCUACGGGAGGCAGCAGUGGGGAAUAUUGCACAAUGGGCGCAAGCCUGAUGCAGCGACGCCGCGUGGGGGAUGAAGGCCUUCGGGUUGUAAACUCCUUUCGCCCGGGACGAAGCCCACCUGGUGGGUGACGGUACCGUGGAGAAGAAGCACCGGCUAACUACGUGCCAGCAGCCGCGGUAAUACGUAGGGUGCAAGCGUUGUCCGGAUUUACUGGGCGUAAAGAGCUCGUAGGUGGUGUGUCGCGUCGUCUGUGAAAUUCCGGGGCUUAACUCCGGGCGUGCAGGCGAUACGGGCACGACUAGAGUGCUGUAGGGGUAACUGGAAUUCCUGGUGUAGCGGUGAAAUGCGCAGAUAUCAGGAGGAACACCGAUGGCGAAGGCAGGUUACUGGGCAGUUACUGACGCUGAGGAGCGAAAGCAUGGGGAGCGAACAGGAUUAGAUACCCUGGUAGUCCAUGCUGUAAACGGUGGGCGCUAGGUGUGGGCUGUGUGUUUGCAGUCUGUGCCGUAGCUAACGCAUUAAGCGCCCCGCCUGGGGAGUACGGCCGCAAGGCUAAAACUCAAAGGAAUUGACGGGGGC
rnacentral:rRNA from 1 species